GCCCGGGUGGCGGAAUUGGUAGACGCGCAUGGUUCAGGUCCAUGUGCCCGCAAGGGCGUGGGGGUUCGACUCCCCCCCCCGGGCACCA
rnacentral:tRNA from 1 species